AUCGUGGCCUCUGUUCCAUUGGCGAUUAGGCAGUGGAUGUUGGGGGCGACGGUCUUGAACUGAUAGCUGAAGCAGAAUCCAUCGGAGAAGAUGAGAAUGACGAUGGGGCAUGGGAGCUUGGUGAGGGGUGGUUGUUGAGAUGAAGGUGGGAUUUUUGUAUUGAAAAUGGAAGAAUGGCGGGUAGAGGCGAACGAGGAGGAGGUAA
rnacentral:lncRNA from 1 species